CUCCACCGCGUGAGGAUGCGAUGAGAAGUCUGCAACCCAGAAGAGAGCCCUCACGGGAACCUGCCCAUGCUGGCGCCUGAUCUCAGAUGGCCAGCCUCCAGAACCGCAUGGACACAAAGCUUCAUGGAUGACAGAUUGUAAUGGGCGGGACGCCAGAACAUCCUCUGCAAGAACGUGUAAACAUAUUAUAAACCACUAACAUUCACUUGACAAUUGAAUUCUACCCCACUACUGAAUCAGGAAGCGUAGCAACAAUCCAGAAACCUCCACUCUGAAGAACACCAGUCCCAAGUUUCUGGAACCCCAGAGGAGGCUUGUACCUUUUACAGAUGCAUCCACUUCAAGGGUGCUU